GCUGGCUUCAGCAGACAGAGACUAAAUCUGGAACAAUACAGAAAGAUUAACAUGGCCCUUACUCAGAAUGACUUGUAAAUUCAUGAAGCAUUCCAUGUGUGU